CCUGGAGGAAGGAUUUGGUCACCGUGCUCACUUAACCCAUGAUUUCUCAGCUGGAAGUGUCAGUUUUGAUGGGCUGUUUUUAUGACACCCUCCCACCCUGAGAACUGGAUGAACUCCAUUAUCUUGAAUCCCAGGGAACACCUUUAAACACUGCCUGUCCAACUAGAGGCAUGUAGCACAGCGAAGAGCCCCAGGUUUCGCCGUGCUGCGAUGCUGAGCAAUACCCUCUGCCGGCAAGCGGAAAACAUGACAGCGCUGGGACGUGUCACCCGCCUCAGUCCUCGUGUCACUUGAGUGCACAAACUGCAUCCCAUGUUUAAACAAGUGGCAGAAAUAAUCUUCCUUAUUCAGCAGUGCAGCCACAGAAAUCUGUUAACAAGCAUGCAUGCAGAUAUCCUUUG